UACGGAGGGGGCAAGCGUUGUUCGGAGUCACUGGGCGUAAAGGGCGCGUAGGCGGUGCGUAAAGUCAGGCGUGAAAGCCCCGGGCUUAACCUGGGAAUUGCGCUUGAUACUGACGUGCUAGAGAACGGGAGAGGAUAGCGGAAUUCCCAGUGUAGAGGUGAAAUUCGUAGAUAUUGGGAAGAACACCGGUGGCGAAGGCGGCUAUCUGGACCGACAUUGACGCUGAGGCGCGAAAGCGUGGGGAGCAAACAGGG
rnacentral:rRNA from 1 species